AUACGGUGAAUGCCUUGGUGCCAAGAGGCGAUGAAGGACGCAGCAAGCUGCGAUAAGCCACGGGAAGCCGCAAGCAGGCGCUGAUCCGUGGGUUUCCGAAUGGGACAACCCUCCCCGAGUUAUGUCGGGGAAUUGUUGGAUGAAUUCAUAGUCCAACAAAGCGAGACGGGGUGAAGUGAAACAUCUCAGUAACCCCAGGAGAAGAAAACGAAUGUGAUUCCGUCAGUAGUGGCGAGCGAAAGCGGAAGAGCCUAAACCGGGAGGAUUUAUCCUGCCGGGGUUGCGGGGCCUUAAUGUGGGAGUUUUGAAGACGAGCGCAAUGAUGUGGAAAAAUCAGCCAUAGACCGUGACAGCCGGGUGCGUGAAGUUGGAGAGACCCCUAGAGGAACCCCAAGUAAUGCGGUGCACGUGAAACUCUGCAUGAAUCAGUCCAGACCACUGGAUAAGGCUAAAUACUCCUUGGCAACCGAUAGUGAACAAGUACCGCGAGGGAAAGGUGAAAAGAACCCCUGUUAGGGGAGUGAAAUAGAACCUGCAACCGAUUGCAUACAAUGUGUAGGAGCUGCCGCAAGGCAGUGACUGCUUGCCUUUUGCAUAAUGAGUCUGCGAGUUAUUGUCAGUGGCGAGCCUAAAUCCUUUUGGGAUGGAGGCGCAGGGAAACCGAGUGCGAAAUGCGCGAACAUACAGUCGCUGGCAAUAGACCCGAAGCGGAGGUGAUCUACUUUUGAGCAGGUUGAAGCUGCGGUAACACGCAGUGAAGGACCGAACUCGUGGAUGUUGAAAAAUCCUGAGAUGACUUGAGAGUAGGAGCGAAAGACUAAUCAAACCCCGUGAUAGCUGGUUCUCUCCGAAAUAGCUUGAGGGCUAGCGUCCGAUAAGUACUCAAAGGAGGUAGAGCUCUGGAUGGCUUAGAGUCCCCACCAGGAUAUCAAAACCAAUCAAACUUCGAAUACCUUUGAUCCCAAUAAUCGGGCAGUCAGACGGCGAGGGAUAAGCUUCGUCGUCAAGAGGGCAACAGCCCAGACCAUCAGUUAAGGCGCCUAAAUACCGUUCAGUGGAAAGGAUGUGACGUUGCAUAGACAGUGAGGAUGUUGGCUUAGAGGCAGCCACCAUUUAAACAGUGCGUAAUAGCUGACUCAUCGAGCGAUGUCGCGCCGAAAAUGAUUGGCGAUAAACGGUAUGCCGAAGCUAUGGAUUCCAGAGGGUUUCGACCUUUUGGAGUGGUAGGAGAGCGUUCUCAGCGCAGUGAAGCCGAACUGAAAAGGAUGGUGGAGCGCUGAGAAGUGAGAAUGCAGACAUGAGUAGCGAUAAACCAGAUGAGAAUUCUGGUCGCCGUAAACCCAAGGUUUCCUGGGGCAGGUUCGUCCUCCCAGGGUUAGCCGGGAGCUAAGAUGAGGCCGUAAGGCGUAAUCGAUGCACAGAUGGUUAAUAUUCCAUCGCCGGUCCGGUUUAAGGCCAACAGGUACGCAUAGAGAAAACCCACUAGACAAUCGAAUGUCGAGCCGAGCCUUCGGGCAAAGCGCAUGGGCGGACAAUGUGCCGAGAAAAGCUGUUGGUUGUUCCCCGGACCGCCCGUACCGCAAACCGACACAGGUGGGUGAGUCGAGUAGACUAAGG
rnacentral:rRNA from 1 species